GCCAGUGUGGCAUAGUGGUCUGGGUGUUGGACUACAACUCUGGAGACCGUGGGUUCGAUGCCCUGCUCAGGGA